UUUUUUUAAAAAGUGGCUGUUUUUCCCCAUACAUUAUUACUAUGGGCGCGCGCAUUCGCAACUAAUUCACGACGCGCGCUUCUAAAAAUUCAGUCGCUCAGCAGAGCUCAAGGAGUGGUCACGUCAGUUUGCCGAGCGACGCUUCCUAAAUAUUCAUCGCGAUCUAGCUUGUGCGUAUACAGCGGCACAAAGCCAAAGGGAUUGAAAAUGGGGAAGCGAAAAGACAAAUAUUUUACGAAAAAAGUGUAAAACUUUUUUUAUUUUGAUUGUUUGCUUCCAGAAUUCAUUGACUCUAGGUUAGAUAGACAAAUGGAAAUUAAAGAACCAGACUAUAUUCUUAAUGCAAUAAAGGAAAGAGAAAUAAUAAAAAAACGAAAAGCAACUAAAGAACAAGAACAAAUAAGAAGUAAAGAAUCACAAAUAACAUACCGAAAAAUAUAAUAUAUAAAAAUGAUAUUGAUAUUAAAUAAAUACUUGAUUUUAAAUCUUGUUUCAUUAUUUAAUAUUUCUACAUAUAUAACCUUCGUUUGAAAAAGUUAUCAAAUACUAAUUUCUGUUUUAAUAACAAAAAAAUAUUUAUUAUUAAACUGA